UCCUAGGCAUGAGAGAUGACCAAGGA
rnacentral:piRNA from 1 species